rnacentral:lncRNA from 1 species
UUAGCUAGAUUCUUGUAGAAAUUCCUUCCAUCGAUAAGAUUUACUUCCUCCAUGUAAUACCCUUGAUAUGCUUCCAUAUUAUCCACUAUUCUGCCAUUCCUCCAAAUCGCUAUCCUAUGAUGAAGUGACAAAGGUACAACUCCUAUGACAUGUAUCCACUCCCGACCAAGGAGCACAUUAUAGCUUGCCUUGGACGCGAUAACCAUGAAAAUAAUAGGUAAGGUUAUCGAACCAAUCGUAACAUUGACCUGGAUAAUGCC